UCCUGCUGGGGUCCCUCCGUGGGAGACACUUCCUGAAACCUGGGAACAACUGCACGGGGUGCCUGUGGUGGGGAAAGGACAGAGAGAGAUAGCAAGGCUCCAGCGUGUCCUUAGUGGGCUUAGCUUGGUCCCCUUAGGCUGAGGGAGCUGUCCCAGCAGAUGGAGGAAGGGUGGCUGGGAUUACAGGCAGGAGGGAGUUUGCUAGGGAUAUUUGCAGCACUGCCUGCUGCAGUUCUUCCCAGGGAUUAAAGGAGGGUUUUCUUUGUGUGACUGAGAGAAUCCCCACGGGCCCUUGGCUGCUCCAGCCACAUCUCCAGGGAUGUUGCACAGGGCCUGCAAAGAGGAUAGGGAUUGACCAUGAGCCUGCCCAGAGCUCUCCAGGCCCCUGAGCAGCUUUGGCCUUGUCCAUUCACAUCUGGCUCCCAAGGCCUUACCCGACCUACAUGCAGUGCCCAGUUCCCUGAGGCAGAAGGGGAUCCCAGCACAUCAUGGACAUGGUUCUGAUCUUUGCUAACUUCUAGACUGGGACCAGGACAUGGAUUAUCUGGGAAACCUGCUGGAUUAUGGCUUGAAACUCAUGGGAAAUCCUGGAGGCAAGUGCUCAAUGUACCUUUCCUGAGAGAAUACACAGUGACCAAGUGGCAAGAGCUCAUAUAUUUGCCCUUUCACUUAAGAUCAUCUGAAGGUUGAUGGAAUACGGAAAAUUUUGCCCUGCUCCCUUCUGGAGCCCUGAGUGAUCCCACAGGAUCACUGUCAGUGCGAGGAAGGAGAAUUUAGCUGUCCAUCUUCCUCCUGUGUGCAAUGCCAGUGUGUCCUUCCGUGUGCUCUGUGCAGCCAGGGAGAAGAGCCGAGAGGGAAGGGGCCGGGCCCAGGGCUGUGCCCGGGGCUGAGCCUUGUGGGCAGCCUGAGGAUCUCCUGCAGUGCCACAGGAGCUCUUCUGUCCUGCCUUUCUUUGCAGCUGAACCUGCUGGUGAAGGUGGUGCAGCUUCCCAAGCCACAUCCAGGACUGAGCCUCUGGGAGAUGCUGAGGAAGUGAUGGACCAAAAAUCUGUGCAGAAGGAGGCACAUCCUGGAGGAAGCAUUUCCCCAUGGACAGCCCCUGUUGCUGGAAGGAAAGUGAUGUCAGACACGGGCACGGGCACAGCAGAUGCAGCCGGCACCACAACACGUGUUCCCGAUGCCCAGAAGGGCCUCGGAAGGGGCUUCUAUAUGGGAACAGGCUGCUGGACAGGGUUACUGGCAGGCCUGCUUUGUUUGGAGUUUAUUCUCAUAUUGUGCUGUGUCAGAAUCUGGUGUUACUGGAAGAAGAAACGGAGCACCUCUGGAACUUCACCAGACCGGCCAAAGGCCUCAGUCAUGGAGAACUGGGCCUGUCAUGCUGCAUCUCCGUGCCAGUGUCCGUUGUCCCUUCCACAGGUGCAUUACCAGCUUAUAGGUGGAAAUAUGCCGCCGCCACCACCCACCUCCCUCUCCGAAGGGACUGACCUUGCUCUCCAUCCAGGACAGGAGGUGCAGCCCUCUAGCCUAGGAAUGGAUUGUUGAAAAAGUUAUAUUUACUUGUAAAAAUUUUAAAUGUUUUUUAAAACCUUUAUUAAAAGUAUAACAAGGGACUGAAUUGAGAAAAUGUUAUGGCUCCGGGUAUAGAGGAUUUUCCCACCACAUGCUCAUCCACACAAUGGAGGUUUCACCUUUUAACUCUUUUGCCCUUCUUAAAGUUCUGUCCAUCAACUCCUUCUUUGAUGUCCAGUGGUGGAGUUUACUUCCGUACAUCUCGCUUGGAGGUCAGGUGCUGCUCUCGUAGCAAGGUGACCCUCUUAAAUGUCCCAAACUCAGGUAACCCCAUGAUGAAAACACAACAGGGGGUAAAACAUAUCUGUAAGUGUAUAAAUCUUCUCUUAACAUGUAUACAUGAUAUUUAUCCUUUAAUUGUGAGAGUCAACUGUCACAUUACUCAUCUAUC